rnacentral:tmRNA from 1 species
GGGGUCGAUCCGGUUUCGACGUGGGUCGCGAAACAGAGCAGGGCAUGUCGAGCACCAGUAAGCUCGUAAAUCCACUGGAAACUUACAAACGCCAACGACGAGCGUUUCGCUCUGGCCGCUUAAGCGGUGAGCCACUGCACUGAUUUGUCUUUGGGUCAGGUGGGGCAACCCACAGCAGUGUCAUCUACAAAGAAUCGGGCCUUGCCAGGUCACUGGGUAAGGUCUUAAAUCAAAGUGAAUCGCCAAGGAAGGGCCUGUCGGUCGGCACGCUCCGAGGUUAAAACUCAAAAUUGAUCGAAUAAACAUGUAGAACUGCCUGCAGAGGGCUUGCGGACGCGGGUUCAAUUCCCGCCGACUCCACCA